rnacentral:rRNA from 1 species
GUGGGGAAUAUUGGACAAUGGGGGGAACCCUGAUCCAGCCAUGCCGCGUGUGUGAAGAAGGCCUUUUGGUUGUAAAGCACUUUAAGCGAGGAGGAGGCUACCGAGAUUAAUACUCUUGGAUAGUGGACGUUACUCGCAGAAUAAGCACCGGCUAACUCUGUGCCAGCAGCCGCGGUAAUACAGAGGGUGCAAGCGUUAAUCGGAUUUACUGGGCGUAAAGCGCGCGUAGGUGGCCAAUUAAGUCAAAUGUGAAAUCCCCGAGCUUAACUUGGGAAUUGCAUUAGAUACUGGUUGGCUAGAGUAUGGGAGAGGAUGGUAGAAUUCCAGGUGUAGCGGUGAAAUGCGUAGAGAUCUGGAGGAAUACCGAUGGCGAAGGCAGCCAUCUGGCCUAAUACUGACACUGAGGUGCGAAAGCAUGGGGAGCAAACAGGAUUAGAAACCCUGGUAGUCC